rnacentral:rRNA from 1 species
UGAUUUCCUAGUACGGCGAGUGAAGAGGAAGAGCUCAAAGUUGGAACCUGUUUGGCCUAGCUAAACAGGAUUGUAAACUGUAGAAGUGUUUUCCAGGCAAUCCGAGUUAAUAAGUCCUUUGGAACAGGGCAUCAUAGAGGGUGAGAAUCCCGUCUUUGAUUCGAGAUAUUUUGUCUUUUGCGAUACACUUUCAAAGAGUCAGGUUGUUUGGGAAUGCAGCCUAAAUUGGGUGGUAAAUCUCACCUAAAGCUAAAUAUUGGCGAGAAACCGAUAGCGAACAAGUACCGUGAGGGAAAGAUGAAAAGAACUUUGAAAAGAGAGUUAAACAGUAUGUGAAAUUGUUAAAAGGGAACCGUUUGGAGCCAGACUGGCUUGUCUGUAAUCAAUCUAGGUUUCGUGCCUGGAUGCACUUGCAGACUAUUUGCCUGCCAACGACAAUUUUUUUUGAGUGUAAAAACUAUUGGAAAUGUGGCCAAUAUUUAUUUAUUGGUGUUAUAGUCCUUUAGAAAAUACCUUGAAUUGGAUUGAGGAACGCAGCGAAUGCUUCUCUUUUGAGGCAAAGUCUUUUAUUGGGAUUUACGGAUCAGACUGUGGCAUUGUCACAAGACUUGAAGUUUAAACCUAUUUUUGAACUUUUAUUCGCUUAGGUU